CCUACGGGGGGCAGCAGUUGGGAAUUUUGCACAAUGGGGGAAACCCUGAUGCAGCAAUCCCGCGUGAGGGACGAAGGCCUUCGGGUCGUAAACCUCUUUCAGAAGGGAAAAAGGGAAACUUGAUGGUACCUUCAGAAGAAGCACCGGCUAACUCCGUGCCAGCAGCCGCGGUAAUACGGAGGGUGCAAGCGUUGCUCGGAAUUAUUGGGCGUAAAGCGCGUGCAGGCGGCUAUUUAAGUCUGGUGUGAAAGCCCGGGGCCUAACCCCGGAAGUGCACUGGAUACUGGAUGGCUAGAGGACGGGAGAGGAGAGUGGAAUUCCUGGUGUAGGGGUGAAAUCCGUAGAUAUCAGGAGGAACAUCGGAAGCGAAGGCGGCUCUCUGGCCCGUAUCUGACGCUCAGACGCGAAAGCGUGGGUAGCAAACAGGAUUAGAUACCCUU
rnacentral:rRNA from 1 species